UUACUGAGUUUACGCUCUACAACCCUUUGUGAACAUACCUAUAACUGUUGCUUCGGCGGGUAGGGUCUCCGUGACCCUCCCGGCCUCCCGCCCCCGGGCGGGUCGGCGCCCGCCGGAGGAUAACCAAACUCUGAUUUAACGACGUUUCUUCUGAGUGGUACAAGCAAAUAAUCAAAACUUUUAACAACGGAUCUCUUGGUUCUGGCAUCGAUGAAGAACGCAGCGAAAUGCGAUAAGUAAUGUGAAUUGCAGAAUUCAGUGAAUCAUCGAAUCUUUGAACGCACAUUGCGCCCGCCAGCAUUCUGGCGGGCAUGCCUGUUCGAGCGUCAUUUCAACCCUCAAGCUCUGCUUGGUGUUGGGGCCCUACAGCUGAUGUAGGCCCUCAAAGGUAGUGGCGGACCCUCCCGGAGCCUCCUUUGCGUAGUAACUUUACGUCUCGCACUGGGAUCCGGAGGGACUCUUGCCGUAAAACCCCCCAAUUUUCCAAAGGUUGACCUCGGAUCAGGUAGGAAUACCCGCUGAACUUAAGCAUAUCAAUAAGCGGAGGAAAAGAAACCAACAGGGAUUGCCUCAGUAACGGCGAGUGAAGCGGCAACAGCUCAAAUUUGAAAUCUGGCCCUAGGCCCGAGUUGUAAUUUGCAGAGGAUGCUUUUGGUGCGGUGCCUUCCAAGUUCCCUAGAACGGGACGCCAGAGAGGGUGAGAGCCCCGUACAGUUGGACACCAAGCCUUUGUAAAGCUCCUUCGACGAGUCGAGUAGUUUGGGAAUGCUGCUCAAAAUGGGAGGUAUAUUUCUUCUAAAGCUAAAUACCGGCCAGAGACCGAUAGCGCACAAGUAGAGUGAUCGAAAGAUGAAAAGCACUUUGAAAAGAGGGUUAAACAGCACGUGAAAUUGUUAAAAGGGAAGCGCUUGUGACCAGACUUGCGUCCGGUGAAUCACCCAGCUCUCGCGGCUGGGGCACUUCGCCGGCUCAGGCCAGCAUCAGCUCGCUGUCGGGGACAAAAGCUUCAGGAACGUAGCUCUCUUCGGGGAGUGUUAUAGCCUGUUGCAUAAUACCCUUCGGCGGGCUGA
rnacentral:rRNA from 1 species